CGGCGGUGAAGUUAGUUUCAGGUUGGAUAUAUUUUCCUGUAAAUACGGCGGUGAAGUUAGUUUCAGGUUGGAUAUAUUUUCCUGUAAAUACGGCGGUGAAGUUAGUUUCAGGUUGGAUAUAUUUUCCUGUAAAUACGGCGGUGAAGUUAGUUUCAGGUUGGAUAUAUUCUCCUGUAAAUACGGCGGUGAAGUUAGUUUUAGGUUGGAUAUAUUUUCCUGUAAAUACGGCGGUGAAGUUAGUUUCAGGUUGGAUAUAUUUUCAUGUAAAUACGGCGGUGAAGUUAGUUUCAGGUUGGAUAUAUUCUCCUGUAAAUACGGCGGUGAAGUUAGUUUCAGGUUGGAUAUCUGACGGACAUUCUCUGAGGAUCUACCGGUGUCUUCUCACUCUCCAUGACCGG